rnacentral:pre_miRNA from 12 species
GGUGGGGCAGCUGGUGUUGUGAAUCAGGCCGGCGCCGAUCAGAGAGCGGCUACUUCACAACACCAGGGUCUCACCC